GACUUGUAACUCUUUAGCAGUGUUCUCCUGUAUUUCUUUAAGUGAUUUAUUAAAGUCCUUCUUGAUGUCCUCUACCAUCAUCAUGAGAUAUGCUUUUAAAUCUAGGUCUAGGUUCUCAGGUGAUGGAUCUUUUCAUCCUGUCCUUACAAUAUCCAGAUUUUUCAAAUAUAUUCAUUAGAACUGCAGCCAAGACCAGGGCAGACAACAUUGGACUGAAGAAAUGACUACAAGUACUGAAUUAUUUAAAAACCAAUGGAUAACUUAGAUAAGAGCAGCCUCUCUGAUGAGCGUAUGGACUGUGAAGUUCUGCUGACAUAUGACUGGCCUACUCAGCACCAUCAAUUUGAUGAAGAGGUGAUAUUCUGGAGAGCUGGAAAGUAACUUAACUUUGAAAGCAUGUUACAGGGUCUCUCUAUGUAGACAUUGCUAGAAGCUAGCUUCCAAAUCACAAAGAUCUUCCUGCCUGUGCCUCCCAAGUGCAGGAAUUAAAGGCAUGUGUAACCACGCCCAGCAUGAACAGUUUUACUGUUACUUGCUAUAAUUUAUUAUUAUUUACUAUGCCCAGUUUUGCUAUUAAUUACUGAUUGCCACUGUUAACUGGUACUAUCCUUGAUUUGUUUAAUACUA
rnacentral:lncRNA from 1 species